AGAGUUUGAUCCUGGCUCAGCCUGAACGCUGGCGGCGUGGCUAAGACAUGCAAGUCGAACGGGUGCAGCAAUGCAUCAGUGGCGAACGGGUGAGUAAUGUAUCGCUAACGUACCCUUGGGUCAGGGAUAGCCGGGGGAAACUCCGGGUAAUACCUGAUAAGACCACGAUCCCGCAUGGGAAUGUGUUCAAAGGAGCAAUCCGCGCAAGGAGCGGGCGAUAUCGUAUCAGCUAGUUGGUGAGGUAACGGCUCACCAAGGCGACGACGCGUAGCCGGGCUGAGAGGUCGGCCGGCCACAUUGGGACUGAGACACUGCCCAGACUCCUACGGGGGGCUGCAGUAACGAAUCUUCCGCAAUGCACGAAAGUGUGACGGAGCGACGCCGCGUGUGGGACGAAGCCCUUCGGGGUGUAAACCACUGUCAGGGGUUACCAAGUUCUGAGGAGCCCCAGAGGAAGGCACGGCUAACUCUGUGCCAGCAGCCGCGGUAAUUC
rnacentral:rRNA from 1 species